CUUUUACUCCCUCCGUCCGAAAAUACUUGUCACCAAAGUGGAUAAAAAAGGAUGUAUCUAGAACUAAUAUACAUCUAGAUACAUCCUCUUUAAUUCAUUUUGAUGACAAGUAUUUCCGGACGGAGGGAGUAUAUA
rfam:Triticum aestivum genome assembly, contig: Triticum_aestivum_CS42_TGACv1_scaffold_578719_7BL